rnacentral:tRNA from 1 species
GGGUAGAUAGCUCAGCAGGUAGAGCAUGCGACUGAAAAUCGCAGGGUCCCCGGUUCGAUCCCGGGUCUGCCCA